CCAGACUCCUACGGGAGGCAGCAGUGGGGAAUAUUGCACAAUGGGGGAAACCCUGAUGCCGCGACGCCGCGUGAGUGAAGAAGUAUUUCGGUAUGUAAAGCUCUAUCAGCAGGGAAGAAAAUGACGGUACCUGAUUAAGAAGCCCCGGCUAACUACGUGCCAGCAGCCGCGGUAAUACGUAGGGGGCGAGCGUUAUCCGGAUUCACUGGGUGUAAAGGGAGCGUAGACGGCCGUGCAAGCCAGGAGUGAAAGGCCGGGGCCCCACCCCGGGACUGCUCUUGGAACUGUGCGGCUGGAGUGCGGGAGGGGCAGGCGGAAUUCCUGGUGUAGCGGUGAAAUGCGUAGAUAUUAGGAGGAACACCAGUGGCGAAGGCGGCUUACUGGACUGUAACUGACGUUGAGGCUCGAAAGCGUGGGGAGCAAACAGGAUUAGAUCCCCCAGUA
rnacentral:rRNA from 1 species